CCUAUAUAUAUAAGGGACUUGAGCCUUUUCUCUCAUUCUCCACUACUUAAACCAAAAAAGAAACCUUCUCUUUCUCUCUCUAAACCUCUCUCUCUCCUAGAGUUUUGCUCCAAAAGUGGAGAUUUGGUGGAAGAAGCUUACUUGGAGGUGAAGCUUUCUUCUUCUUCACCAUUGGCUUGAAGAGAGCUUGGGUUUGAGGUAAAACCGACGCGGAGGAUCACUCGGAUUGAGAUUCCGUUGAGCCGGUGGUGGUCAAAGUGAAGAAAAUCCUGUUUUUGCUUCGUUUGCCGCAAUCGGAAGAAAUCGACGGCCAUAAAUCGCGCUGCUAGGCUACCCGCUUCGUGUCAACGCCACGAGACCUAGUGGGAAAAUCGGCGGGGUCGGCGACCGAAUCCACUGGAAACUUUGUUUAGUUCUCACACCCUGUUUUGCAGAGCCUAGUACGAGCGCGUGCGUCGAGAAUCGCGGCAAGGGCAUCGCGCCCUAGAUAGAGUGGACCACCGGCAUUAGCUCACUACCAUCGAGUAUAGAAAGGAAAGAAUGAAUGUAAAAACCCUUUUGGAAAGAGAAUGUGAUGUAAAUGUUAGAUAUUAGUUUGUAUGUUAAAUGAGAGGUUUUGUAAUAAGCUAAAGAAUGUAAGUUGUUAAAUACACUCUGGAAAUGUUUUAGUAAGUAGCUUACUUUCUCUUGUAUCUUGAUAUGCCUCUCGCAAAUGUUGAAUGCUAAUAUCUUUUGUUUAGAUAUGUAUGCAUAGACUUUGUUACGCUUCGGGCGGACAGGGGAAACUCUGUCCGUUCAGCGGGUCUGUUUCGGACCCGAACUGUCCAAAUUGGUGGUGACGGGUCGUGAUACUUUCCUCUUAGGUUACUCUCGCGGCUACAUUUGUUCCUGUUGAGCUCUUUUUAUACAAAGUUGUUGGUCGAAAAUUAGUUGAAAUAA